GCCUAGGUGGCUCAGUCGGUAAAGCAUCUGACUUUGGCUCAGGUCAUGAUCUCAUGGUUCAUGGGUUCAAGCCCUGUGUUGGGCU
rnacentral:tRNA from 1 species